GUGGUACACGAUGUUAGAAUUUUCUACUUUCUCUAGUGAGCCAUUCAAAGCCAAAUUCGGUGCAGUCUCACCCACAAGGUUUGGCCCUCAUUAGCUUCGAAAAGUAAGAAAUUUGGUCCAAAGCUUUGGCCACCAAUGCUAUAGUGCAUCUAAAGUCAUCUUCUACUCCCUUUAUCCAAAACAAAGAUACCUUGACCUCGGG
rnacentral:lncRNA from 1 species